rnacentral:rRNA from 1 species
GAGUUUGAUCGUGGCUCAGAUUGAACGCUGGAGGCGUGCUUAACACAUGCAAGUCGCGCAAGAAAGGGACUUCGGUCCUGAGUAGAGCGGCGCACGGGUGAGUAACGCGUGGGUAAUCUCCCUUGGUGAUCGGGAUAACAGUGGGAAACUGCUGCUAAUACCGGAUAAUCUUCAUGUUUAACUUCAUGGGGUAAAGGUGGCCUCUGCUUGCAAGCUACCACACCGAGAUGAGCCCGCGUCUCAUUAGCUAGUUGGUAGGGUAAUGGCCUACCAAGGCUACGAUGAGUAGCUGGUCUGAGAGGAUGACCAGCCACACUGGGACUGGAACACGGCCCAGACUCCUACGGGAGGCAGCAGUGGGGAAUAUUGCGCAAUGGGCGAAAGCCUGACGCAGCGACGCCUCGUGAGGGAUGAAGGUCUUCGGAUCGUAAACCUCUGUCAAGAGGGAAGAAACCCUUGGAUUCGAAUAGGGUCCUUGGCUGACGGUACCUCAAAGGAAGCACCGGCUAACUCCGU